AUGUCAUGAUGUGGACACUUCCGUAGCAAGUCAUUCAAACGUUCCCAUGCUUCAUGAAGGGGUUCUCCUUUUUGUUGUUUAAAUUCACGAAUGGAAGUUCUCAUGGC